UGGGGAACCUGCCCCAUAGUCUGGGAUACCACUUGGAAACAGGUGCUAAUACCGGAUAAGAAAGCGGAUCGCAUGAUCAGCUUUUAAAAGGCGGCGUAAGCUGUCGCUAUGGGAUGGCCCCGCGGUGCAUUAGCUAGUUUGUAAGGUAAAGGCUUACCAAGGCGAUGAUGCAUAGCCGAGUUGAGAGACUGAUCGGCCACAUUGGGACUGAGACACGGCCCAAACUCCUACGGGAGGCAGCAGGC
rnacentral:rRNA from 1 species